UACACUUGAAAUUGUAAAUUUAUAAUCAAUCUGGAUUUAUAAGAAUUGAUCUUUUUUCUCAUCUAUAAAAAGAUAAUGCGUGCAGACGGAAGAUCUCUUAAUUUUUUAUUCAUUGUAUUUAGUAUCGAUCAGGAUUUAGUUAGAUAUUAAUUUAAGACUUUUUGCAAGUCAACAACGAAUUUUGGAUUGAUUUAUUUAAACAUAAUCAUGUAAGUUUAAAUAAUAUCAAUGCAUCGUAUCAAUAUAUUAUCGUGCUAGAAACGAAUGUUGUGCGAAAUUAAUUUAAAGUUAUGGAACGCGAUAACACAAUCGUUAUGUGAUUUAAUGCGCGACAGUUUUUCCCCUUAAAAAUUUGGAUAUCUUCGAUAAAACUAUCUUGUAAAUCGAAAGAAAGUACAAGAAACUUGUAUUAUUAACGUGUAACGUAACAAGAAAUUUAAUUGAAUGAAAAAUGAUGUAUAUAUUAAAAUACAUUUACACAUUAUUCAUCAUAAAUUGUUGCUACGAUCGGGAUAGUCUUUUUUUACUCUUGACGUAUCCAUGAUGCAUUGUUCGAAUAUUGCCAUUCGUUGAGUCAUUCUUGUACUUUCCGUUUCUGAUGUCAUCAACAAUCUAAAAUGAUUGAAAUGUGGCUCGUGAGGAAUCGUUAUGGGAUAUAUUCGUUUUUGUGUUCCGAGUUUCAUUGAGUAUUGUCUUAAGAAAAAAAAAGAAAAAAAAAAAAAAUUGCAUUGGAAAAAUAAGGACAAAAUAGUUCAUAAAUAUGGGAACGAAAUUUUUUUUUUUGCCUAUUCAUUUCUUCGCAUUGCUACUUAUUGAUAAAGAACUGGUCCUAGCCACGAAAUAGAUUUGGAAGUCAUCGCGGCACCGAGAAAAAGAGAGAGAGAGAGAGAGAGAGAAAUGUGAGAGAGAGAGAGAGAGAGUGUGAUGACUCUUACGGAAGCAAAAGAGAACUUUGCCUUGUUUUUAUCUCAUUUCUCUAUUUAGUGUCAUAAAUAUUUAUAUGUGGACCACCUGAUGUUCUCGCUGGAACCGGUGGUGGAACCGACGAUGUAGGCAAGCUAGGCGGGGCAUGCUGAGGUGGAGGAAUUUGUCUUUGUGGUAAUGGAGGAGGUAUAGAACUAAUACACUUGUUCGAUGAUUCUUGGGAAGGAUCUGUACGUGGCAAUGGCGGCGGUGGUCUAGUUGGCGCAGGAUAAUUAGGAAAUCCAUCUAAUAUUUCUUCGUAAAUUGCAGAUUCCGGAGACGAUCUUUCCACUUGUUCGGAUUCAGCUCUAUCUUUAACUGGCGUCGUUGGAAAUUGAUUAGGUAAUACGCUAAAUACACCUGCGUGGGGAAUUUGUUUUUUCUCUUGGUAUGGACUUUUAGGCGGUUGAGAAGGUCUGCCUGGUGGAGCUGGCCUGGGCGGUGGCGUAACAUCAUUUGUAUUUCCUUUAUUAGGCGAUGGAUGUUCUGAAAUUCCUAAUUGUUCUAAUUUUGGCAAAGAAGUUUUCGAAAUAGACGAGAAAGCACUAGAUUGCGAUGCCGUGGUAUUGCUACAAAUUUCUAUUUCUUUCUCAAUAAGUUGCAUCCAAUUGGGUGACUUUAAUGUUAAAGUUAAUGCUUGGCCGCAGACGUGUGUCAUUCCUUUUUUUGCAGCGGCCAAAGCACAUUGUCCAUCUCUAAAGGUGACCCAAAUUGUUUCUCCAACGAAUCUCACGAGAAUCACUUCGCCAAUAUGAGACAGAUCUUGUACCAAUGCCAUCAUAACAUUACUAUCGAAUGCGCUAUCAGCAUCUUCUGUUUCGUCUACCGUUUUUACUAUUAUCGUUCCAUCCGGUGGACCCAAAUCUUCUAUUACUUCUUUAAAUACAUGUUCCCUUUGUUGUGGUUCAACGCGAUAAACCUCUACGUCGAUAAUAGCAAUAACAGGUCUAUGAUCACUUUGUUUUAAUUCUGCUCUACCAUAAUAAAUAAGCUUCCCUGGAUACCAAUCUGUAGGAGAAUCUAGGAUCACAGUUUUAACAGAAUUAUCCAAAGCUUAUGUAAAAUGUUUUUGUUAGUUGUAUUCUUGUUACACUCACCAAUAUCAGGUAUUUGCUUUCUUCGUUUCCAAAGAACUCUAUCUGUCCAUGCAGGCUGACGGCAUUUUUCACUCGUGUCAUAGUCAUCGGAAAAAAGAUCGUACUUGUAUGUAGGAGGAAAUGUAAUGGAUCCUUCCAAAAAGUUUUUGAACACAUUACCCUGUUCCUGUUGUACCUGUUCGAAAAGUGAAUGCGAGUAAUACCUACAAUUACGAGAAUAAAUCGACCGAAAAAUUGUAAGUUA